rnacentral:rRNA from 1 species
UACAGGGGGUGCAAAACCGUUUGCUCGGAAUCAUUGGGCGUAAAGCGCACGUAGGCGGUUCGUUAUGUCGGAUGUGAAAGCCCUUGGCUUACCGAGGAAGUGCAUCCGAAACUGGCGAGCUAGAGUACGAAAGAGGAUCGCGGAAUUCCCCGGUGUAGAGGUGAAAUUCGUAGAUAUCGGGAGGAACACCGGUGGCGAAGGCGGUACCUGGACAGUUACUGACGCUCAGGCACGAAAGCGUGGGGAGCAAAAGGG